CCCCGCCGCAACUGCUUCUCGUUGACACCGUUCCGAUUCCGAACACAGCGCCAUGAGUGCUCCGGCUGCGUACUCCGUCGCACGAUCCGAUAUCUUUAAUAUUAUCUUCACAAGCAUCGGCACCGUGAGAGCAUGACCGGCAAACGACGCGCAACCAGCUGGUACACGGCAUAACAACUCCACCGUUGCUAAUGCUCUCUCAGCAUCACACUUCUCGAAAUCAGCAAGCCGGUCAAUAAGUACUACAGGUGCACCGGCGGAAACAGCACGGUGGCGCGUUUGUUUCACCAAACAUAAAGCGAACAAAGCUUUAAUUCCUAUCUUCAGUGCACGUGGAUAGGAGAUCGGAUUCUUCAAUAUCUCAACAACACCGUCGUAGAUCCCGUCAACAUUGCUCACCUGAAGACGAAUCUCCGGCGAGUGAGUUCCGGCGACGAUGAUUUCAAUCAACGCUGCUGAGUUAACUCGAACAUCGAACGAAUCAUGUGAAAGAAGACUUGUAAGGUAGUUAAUCUUAUCUGAAUCGGAAGCGAGUGAAGUACAUUCUGACUCACUGAGUGGAAAUAGAACUAUUAAAGCGAGUGACUCAUUUUUUAACUCGUCUAAACCGUUGUUAAAAAGAAUAGGUAAUAUAAUAUUCCGAACGUUGAGAGAGGAUAUAAGAGAACGGUUAUACUCCGAGUCACGAGUUAACGAUCUGAGUCGCCGGAGCGAGUUGAGACGUAGUUGAGUAGGGGCAGAAUGUGAAGAUAUUUGGUUAAGUAAAGAACGAACAAGAGCAGCGUCUGCGGGUUGUUUAGGUGUUGGAAUCCGCUGAACUCCAAAAGCGCGGUUGGAAACGCACCAAUCUUGGAUUAAACGGCGGAGGGUGUGAUUUGGUAUGAAGGUGAAAUCUGUGAGAUUGGUCCGGGUAACCGGACACGUCGUGUUACCGGUGUUAACCCACGACUCGAUGCUAUUUCGGUCGUAGGUUUGACCGGUGGAGACGGUCACUGGGUCUCGCAUGAGUUCGAGCGAGAUUGGACAUCUGAAGUGGUAAGGAAUUUGAACCCCUAAAUCUAAUGGUUCUAAACAGCCACGCAUUUUUUUUUUUAUUUGGUUAUGGGACAGAAGAGGAAUGAGGUUUAUAAUAGGAGAGUGAGUACUAGUAUAGUACGAGAAAAUAUAAUAAUGCUAAAUGUGAAGGCUCUGAAAAUUCUCUUUAGCUAAGUUGUGUGUGUGCUUUCUCUUAUAUGAGAUGAAACAGAGGAACAUACCCAACAGGAACAGAGAGAGGGACCAACCCUUAACUCUCUGCCAUGCCCCCUGACUCGUUUAUUGCCCCCUCCCACACGUGUGGUGUGUGGUGGCAUGGCAUCCAACUUGGAAUCUAACCCUGGUUGGGGAAUUCAAUCACAGACAAAGGAUUGGUCAAAUGAAAUAUGCUUAUUAUGGGUCCCACUAUUAUUUUCCUGCCUAAAAUCUUACUCCUGUGUACAUCAACUAAUUACGCCUUGUCCUCCAUUUCAUUUUUUUACUUUAUUUGUUACUAGUAUUUUUUGGGGUCACUUUGCAUUCUUCUUUUCUCUAUUGUGUCUCUUUCAUCUUUCUUUGCAUUCAUGGCCUUUUUGUUCUCUUUUCUUUUUUUUAUCUUAGACUCUACUUUUGUUGUUUGGCAAAUCGAGGUGAAAGAAAGCUUUGAACUUGUUUCAUUGCAACUCUUUGUGUGUAGUGAAAGGUAUCUACAGGAGAUAGAUCAAUGUAUAUGAUUAUUUGAUGGUUCAUUGCAAAG
rnacentral:lncRNA from 1 species